UUACUAUAGCUUGACACUGAACAUUGAGCCUUGAUGUGUAGGAUAGGUGGGAGGCUUUGAAGUGUGGACGCCAGUCUGCAUGGAGCCGACCUUGAAAUACCACCCUUUAAUGUUUGAUGUUCUAACGUGGACCCGUAAUCCGGGUUGCGGACAGUGUCUGGUGGGUAGUUUGACUGGGGCGGUCUCCUCCUAAAGAGUAACGGAGGAGCACGAAGGUUGGCUAAUCCUGGUCGGACAUCAGGAGGUUAGUGCAAUGGCAUAAGCCAGCUUGACUGCGAGCGUGACGGCGCGAGCAGGUGCGAAAGCAGGUCAUAGUGAUCCGGUGGUUCUGAAUGGAAGGGCCAUCGCUCAACGGAUAAAAGGUACUCCGGGGAUAACAGGCUGAUACCGCCCAAGAGUUCAUAUCGACGGCGGUGUUUGGCACCUCGAUGUCGGCUCAUCACAUCCUGGGGCUGAAGUAGGUCCCAAGGGUAUGGCUGUUCGCCAUUUAAAGUGGUACGCGAGCUGGGUUUAGAACGUCGUGAGACAGUUCGGUCCCUAUCUGCCGUGGGCGCUGGAGAACUGAGGGGGGCUGCUCCUAGUACGAGAGGACCGGAGUGGACGCAUCACUGGUGUUCGGGUUGUCAUGCCAAUGGCACUGCCCGGUAGCUAAAUGCGGAAGAGAUAAGUGCUGAAAGCAUCUAAGCACGAAACUUGCCCCGAGAUGAGUUCUCCCUGAGACUUAGAGUCUCCUGAAGGAACGUUGAAGACGACGACGUUGAUAGGCCGGGUGUGUAAGCGCAGCGAUGCGUUGAGCUAACCGGUACUAAUGAACCGUGAGGCUUAACCUU
rnacentral:rRNA from 1 species